GACGAACGCUGGCGGCGUGCUUAACACAUGCAAGUCGAACGGACAGGCCCUGCUUUUGUUGUUUGCUCGUUUGGCGAACGGGUGAGUAACACGUGUGUAACCUCCCCUUGUCUUUGUGAUAACUUCUGGAAACUGCGGCUAAUACCGGAUAUGAGCUCCUGCUGCAUGGUGUGCGUUGGAAAGUUUCGGCGGUUGGGGAUGGACUCGCUGCUUAUCAGCUUGUUGGUGGGGUAGUGGCUGACCAAGGCUUUGACGGGUAGCCUGCCUGAGAGGGUGACCGGGCACAUUGGGCCUGAGAUACGGCGCAGACGCCAACGGGAGGCAGCAGGGGGGAAUAUGGCAGAAUGGGCGGAAGCCAGAUGCAGAAACGCCGGGUGCGGGAUGACGGGCUUCGGGUGGUAAACAGAUGUCGCCUGUGACGAAGCGUGAGUGACGGUAAUGGGUAAAGAAGCACCGGCUAACUACGUG
rnacentral:rRNA from 1 species